AAGUGAGAAGCAUUAAGAUGCAAUUAGUUUCGACCUAAAAGAUGAUUUAUCCCGCUUA
rnacentral:tRNA from 1 species